ACGAGAGAAUAAAAAAACAUUAGAUACUUUGAAACUGACCUCCUUCUUCCCUACGAUCUAUAAUUCUACGCUUCCUAAGAAUGGAACAAAAUGAAUUUCCAAAAUUGAUGUGUAUGUUGAUAUUCACGGACAUGGCCAACAAAGCCAGAGGUAAGUAUUGCUGUCUAGAUCGAGAUUGAUUGUUUUUUGUCUUUGUCUUUCUAUUUACAAUUUCUGUUUUCAGAUUUCACAAGUUUGGCUCUUAGUUUGUUCAUCGUGGUUUUGUAUAUUCAUCAAAUUCUGAGUUUCAUAAUUGUUUUUGUGUUCAAAUUAUGAAUUGACAUGUGGAUUUAUAGGUUCAGAUUAAAAAAUCAAAUCUCCAGCUAUGCCACUUGAGAUUUUACACAGCUUUCCUUCAAAAUAAGUCUGGAAGCAGAACCAUGUGAAAUCAGCGUUGGAUGUCCUUACAAUUCUAAUUUUUUUCUAUCGAUUGCGAUAUCUAUUGCAGCAGAGGCGAAUACAUAUCAGAUGGUUAAGCCAUAUCGGGACUUCCAUAUACAGAGACUAGAAAAGAAGCAGAGCACGCGAGUUGCAGGCUUGAUUGGAGAAAGAGCUUGAUAGAACUAAAAGAGAUCAAAACACAUUCAAAACUUCUUUUGUUGCUGUUGGUUCAAAGAUAUACGGUUUGGAUGGUGUUUACAGUUUUGGUGUGACUUCGAAUGUGCUAGCCAUUGAUUGUACGUACGUCUCAUACGGUACAGCCCGUUUCCCUCAUUCCUAGGCCUAUUGGUGAUACAAUCCCACCCUCAUCGACAAAAUCUACGUCAUCGGAGAGUGUUUAGUCAUCGGAGGAUAAAGAAGGUCAUGGUGCUUAAUACAUAGAGAAAAAUGUGAGAGCUUGAGGCUGAGAUGACAAAGCCAGCCAUGAAGAUAGGUCAAACGUAGUCUGGUUGUGUGGAGGUGGAGGGUAAGAUUUACAUAAGAGAUCCAGCGAAUAACUUUGUUUAAGGUCUAAAGGUAGAAGAUGUGAAAUGGAUGAGAUUCUGAAUUCUAAAAAGUGGGAGUAUGCAUAUGUUGUUGACGAUAUUUUGUAUAACUACUACUCCAUGAUUCUUAAGAACAGAUUAAAAGCGUAUAGUU